AACGAACGCUGGCGGCAGGCUUAACACAUGCAAGUCGAACGGGCGUAGCAAUACGUCAGUGGCAGACGGGUGAGUAACACGUGGGAACCUUCCUAGGGGUACGGAACAACUCAGGGAAACUUGAGCUAAUACCGUAUACGUCCGUGAGGAGAAAGAUUUAUCGCCCUUAGACGGGCCCGCGUCGGAUUAGCUAGUUGGUGGGGUAACGGCCUACCAAGGCGACGAUCCGUAGCUGAUCUGAGAGGAUGAUCAGCCACACUGGGACUGAGACACGGCCCAGACUCCUACGGGAGGCAGCAGUGGGGAAUCUUGGACAAUGGGCGCAAGCCUGAUCCAGCCAUGCCGCGUGAGUGAAGAAGGCCUUCGGGUUGUAAAGCUCUUUGUCAGGGACGAUAAUGACGGUACCUGAAGAAUAAGCCCCGGCAAACUCGUGCCAGCAGCCGCG
rnacentral:rRNA from 1 species